GAAGGUAUAGCUCAGUGAUAGAGGGCGGGCUUAGCAUGCGAGAGGUCCUGGGUUCAACCCCUAGUACCUCCA
rnacentral:tRNA from 1 species